UACGUAGGGGGCAAGCGUUGUCCGGAUUUAUUGGGCGUAAAGAGCGUGUAGGCGGCUUUGCAAGUCCGUUGUGAAAACUCGAGGCUCAACCUCGAGACGCCGGUGGAAACUGCAAAGCUAGAGUACGGAAGAGGCGAGUGGAAUUCCUGGUGUAGCGGUGAAAUGCGCAGAUAUCAGGAGGAACACCGAUUGCGAAGGCAGCUCGCUGGGACGUCACUGACGCUGAGACGCGAAAGCGUGGGGAGCAAACAGG
rnacentral:rRNA from 1 species